GCUCCCGCGUCCCGGCCCGCACGACCCCCGAGUUCCGCCCGCAGCCUGCGAAGCGCGAGCCCGGCCCGUGGCGAGCCUGCAGGGCGCGCCGGAAAGUAGCGUCGCCCGCGCCGAAAGUAGCGUCGGGCGCGCGCAGAAGAGGGGCCCCGAGAAGCGCACGGCCCGCGGUGGGGGCUCAGGAGCCGCAGCGCCUCCCGGGGCCGGGAGAAGGAAGCCAGCCCGGGGCGACGCGCGGGCCCUGAGCCCGGGGGCGGCGAGCCCCUUCAGCGUGUCUCCACCCGCCCUCCGCUCAGCCCCGGCGUCUCUCGGUCGCGCGCACCCGGCGGUCCUCGGGCGCCCGCUCACGAUGCACCCCUCCAGAAAGCGCCACCCGCGUGUCGGGGACGCGAGCCCGGGCCGCAGGCGCCUAGCAGCCUGGAAGGUGAGUCAAGCGUUCAACCGCAUGGGUGCUCACCUGGGAGAGGAGAUAAAUGCCAAGAAGUGAGGGUUUCGUGACAUCGCCCUGGAGAGCAGCCGCUAGGACCCCAGCCCAUCUGGGAGACCAGAGGUUUCUUUGGGCCAUCCACGUGUUAGCCAAGAUGCGACGGCCCCAUAGGAGUAAAGGUAAGGAGGGAAGAACUUUCCGAGUCGCCGAGGCGGGACAGGUCGUGCAGCAGGGGGACUGAAGGAGGCUCAGCUCAGCCUGGCAGAGGGCUGGUUGUGCAGCCGAGCCCGGGUGUGAGAGCGGCCGGGUCAUGCAGAGGCUGAAGGAGUACAGCGAGGACCUCGGUCUUUAUCCUGGGAGUCAUGGGAAGUUCUUGGAGGAAGUUAACCAGAUAAGAGACAUCAGUGAAGUUUGUGCCAGGCGCCGUGGCGCACGCCUGUGAUCCCACCACUUUGGGAGGCCGAGAUGGAAGGAUCCCCCAGGAGUUUGAGACCAGUCUGGUCAACAUAGUGAGCCUCCUUCCCCGCCCGGUCUCUAAAUAGAUAAAUACAUCAUGCAGUUUGAAUUGUAAUGAGAUUACUCUGUCUGCUGUGUGGAGAAUGGAUGGCAGGAGGGCCGGGUAGAGCCUAACGUAACCAAUUCGUGCAACCCUCUGGCGGCAGUUCUGUAUUCAUAUGGGAACAGGCUGAGGCUUCAGAACCUUGCCUUGGCACCUGCAGGGUCUCCCCUCCACAGUGCAUGACAGGUCACAUGAACAAAGUGGGCGUUUUAUCUGAUACAGGUCCAUUUGCACUGGUGUUCUCUGAAACCCUGUCUGUCUGGGGUUUUUUUCAUAGGAGACAGUAAAUAAGCGGCAUGGACAUGAAACAGUUCUCAGCAUUUUUGGUGAUGCAGGCCUCCCUGGAGAUGCCUCUCCUCCCUCCACACCAAUGUCAUGUUGCAACUCACACCCCUGGGCUGCACCCUGGAUGCACACAGGAUUAGAAACGCUUCUUUUUACUAGAAGGGUGAAAUAAUUUGUUUUACCAUGGUCUCUCCAGCACUGAAAGGAGCCUGCUACAGAGUAGCUGCCCAGAGUGCGUGCCGAGCUGCUCUUUGCAGUCAAGUUGGAAGAUGAACAGUCCUAGAUGCCAGCCCUAUUUGCAUGCCAAGUGUUGUUUUAUUUUAAAAUAUCUUCGCCUUUUUUUUUUUUUGUAAAGAAGGGGGUCCCACUAUGUUGCCUGGGCUGGUCUCAAACUCCUGGCCUCAAGUGAUCUUCCCAGCUCGGCCUCCCAAAGUGCUGGGAUUACAGGCGUGAGCCACUGCCCCCAGUCCCUUUUCUUCUGUAAGUUUUAAGAUACUUGAGGCAUGCCUUUGUUCAGCCAAAAAGAACUAUUAGAUGGAAAAAAGCAGGAGGCACUACGUUAUGUUUUAAAUCUCACACUUAACCUCAAUAACUAGGAAAUGUAGAAAACAAGGCUUUCCCUACAUUAAGUGGGAAGAUGAGCAAACGCAGGUUCUAAACAGGAGAGCACAGAACACCCCGACGGCUGCCCGGGACAAAUGAUCCAGGACAUGCUAACCCACAUGACAACACGUGCCACUCAGAGGAGGUGUCAGCUCGGAGACAGAAGGAGGAAACGGAGACCAAGGUGGCAUCGGCAGUGUCCACUGACCCCUGCUGCAGGUGGGGUGGUGUUGGCUCAACGGCGACACUGUCGGAGGCGGGAAGAGGGGAAGGGCUAGCAGCCACUUGCUGGUGCCUGGCCUUCCUCUUGGGCAUCAGCUUCCAGCCCUGCAGCCUGAGGGGACUGAGCUCACCCACUUCCACGGGUGGGCCCUGCUUGGGUCCCCCAGCCUGUCAGCAUGUCGCCUCUGCUCUGCCACACUGGGCUGGUUCACAACUCAGGUGUGAGCUGUUAGGGAACCAGGCUUCCUGAUUUCCAGAGGCCAUCAGUGUGGAAGGGUGCGGCCCUGGGAGCCACCUCGUGAGCAGGCAGGAGUGUGAAGCCAGCGCUGAGGAAGGAAGCAGAGCUGGGAAAUGGUGGAAGGGACGCGCAUGCACGUGCAGUCCACUGCCUAGGCCCUGCCUUUCAGCCCUGAUCACGGGUUGCCUCCAGCCGCCCUACCCACGCACUGUGUGUGUGAGCCCACACAUCUGCAUCUGACACCAGGCACCUGUCUCCUGCACUGAUGCAGGCUUGGGACCUCCAGAGCAGCGGGCAGGAUGACGCCCUCAACCUGCACUUCCAUCUCCUGGCUAUUUUAUUCUGUCCACUGACUUCUAUAAUACAAUUUUCAUAGGGCGACCCUGCCUUCCAAAACAACUAUGGUCAGUUUCAAUGCAAUCACAGUGUAUUCUCAGCAUUCUUCAUUGGCAGUGGAAAACGCUUCAGUACUUUAUUGAAAGAAAGCAAUAAAUAAUACUGUGAUAAAAAUAGUUCAAAAGUAGACUGUACAUACUUUGUUACAUAAUCAGGAAGUUCACAAAAGAUUAGCAAACAGAACAGUAACAAUGAAUUGUACAAGUAAAUUAAAAGCAGAAACCAAAUGUGAAA